UCCUCAUUCCAGAAGAAUAAUUGUUUUCAUCUUCCAGAAGCUAAGGAAUUGGCUUAUCUAGCCUUGAGUGUUCAGAGUGAGACUAAUUUCUUCAGACCCUGUUUUCCAAUGCUUCCCAGCUGGCAUUUCCAACACUUGUGUCAUGGAAGGUCUUCUACCUCCCACUCCUGACAUACCACUCCUACAUGGUUAAUCAAAUUUCAACAGUUCUUCACAGCCCAGUGGAAUCAUCACAGACCCGUUAUAUUUAGCUGAGUCAUGCUGCUUUGUAUUCAUGUUUUGAGCUAUGGAGGUGGCCACGUCAAUUACGUGGAUGCUGAGCAGCUGUGAGAUUGGAUGAAAGAGUUAUGAAAUUCUCUGGAGAAAGCAGGAGGCUCUUCAAGUAACACAAAGGCAGUGGUGAUCAAGAAGCAGGAAAAUGCCUAUGCUGGGAAGGGACUGGAGAAAUCGUUAUAUGUGCCAAAUCUGUCAAGACUGAUAAUUAGUAUUAGCAAUAAGUUAUGCAGUUAUCAUCAGAUCACAAUGAAAUAAUGACAGCAAGUUUAACAGGAUGUUUAUGUAGUUAAUCCUUUGGUUGAUGUAUUGUUUGUAAAGUACUACAAUGGUAAUGAAACUGUCAUGCCUCCAGUGAGGCCUCUUAAAUGAAAUAAAAACAAGCUGG